rnacentral:rRNA from 1 species
GACGAACGCUGGCGGCGGGCUUAACACAUGCAAGUCGAACGGAAAGGCCCUGCUUUUGUGGGGUGCUCGAGGGGCGAACGGGGGAGUAACACGUGAGUAACCUGCCCUUGACUUUGGGAUAACUUCAGGAAACGGGGGCUAAUACCGGAUAGGAGCUCCUGCUGCAGGGAGGGGGGUGGAAAGUUUGGGCGGUUGGGGAUGGACUCGCGGCUUAUCGGCUUGUUGGUGGGGUAGUGGCUUACCAAGGCUUUGACGGGUAGCCGGCCGGAGAGGGUGACCGGCCACCUUGGGCCUGCGGUACGGCCCAGUCUCCUACGGGAGGCAGCAGUGGGGAAUCUUGCACAAUGGGCGGAAGCCUGAUGCGGAGGCGCCGCGUGCGGAAUGCCGGCCUUCGGGUUGUAAACCGCUUUCGCCUGUGACGAAGCGUGAGUGACGGUAAUGGGUAAAGAAGCACCGGCUAACUACGUG